rnacentral:rRNA from 1 species
AUUGAACGCUGGCGGCAGGCUUAACACAUGCAAGUCGAGCGGGGGAGGUUGCUUCGGUAACUGACCUAGCGGCGGACGGGUGAGUAAUGCUUAGGAAUCUGCCUAUUAGUGGGGGACAACAUCUCGAAAGGGAUGCUAAUACCACAUACGUCCUCCGGGAGAAAGCAGGGGACCUUCGGGCCUUGCGCUAAUAGAUGAGCCUAAGUCGGAUUAGCUAGUUGGUGGGGUAAAGGCCUACCAAGGCGACGAUCUGUAGCGGGUCUGAGAGGAUGAUCCGCCACACUGGGACUGAGACACGGCCCAGACUCCUACGGGAGGCAGCAGUGGGGAAUAUUGGACAAUGGGGGGAACCCUGAUCCAGCCAUGCCGCGUGUGUGAAGAAGGCCUUUUGGUUGUAAAGCACUUUAAGCGAGGAGGAGGCUACUGGUAUUAAUACUACCGGAUAGUGGACGUUACUCGCAGAAUAAGCACCGGCUAACUCUGUGCCAGCAGCCGCGGUAAGAC